rnacentral:rRNA from 1 species
UACGGAAGGUGCAAGCGUUAGUCGGAAUUACUGGGCGUAAAGGGUGCGUAGGUGGUGAUAUAAGUCGGUCGUGAAAUUCCGGGGCUCAACUUCGGAGCUGCGAACGAUACUGUAUUACUUGAGGAAUGGCGGAGAAAAUGGAAUUCCAUAUGUAGCGGUGAAAUGCGUAGAUAUAUGGAAGAACACCUGUGGCGAAAGCGGUUUUCUAGCCUUCUCCUGACACUGAGGCACGAAAGCAAGGGGAGCAAACAGG